UAUAGGAACUGCUUGAUCCACGGUUUGCGAUCCUGACGAAUCCGAUGUGUUAUUGCCUGUAGCUUCUCGAUAAAGAGCCACCUCGUACUCCAAACGUCCUGGAGUCUCUUCGACCACCCCGGAUACUCUCGCGCCAUGCGGACUGAAAAAUAGAGAAAUUACAGGACGUUUAAGCGUUUCUUAAAAUCUAACUAAAUCUAAUGGAUACUCACAAUGUGCCAGCGAAACCUGCAGCUUUGUGUCUCAAUAACGUUGGCUCGGGUGGUCGACACAUCAGGAUUAGUUCUUGGUCAGCUAGCAUUACCACGCCUGGAAAUGCUGGGAACCAUAUUCGCAGAAUGCCACAUCUGGAGAAGUCGGUCACCUUGAGGAAGUAGUUGUCUUCCUGAGGAUCGUUGGGAUCCGGUCUGAUCUGGCAAUGAAUAUCGUGAGCAGAUCGGCUGCUGAUCCUGCACCACUGCAUUGAAUGUCAGAGACUUCGUAGUCCUGGGCGACGGUGACUGCAACCUGUAACAGUACCACAUUAAGGUGUAAAGGUCCUUUUAGACUUAUCCUUUUAGACGGUCGUAUCUAUUCUCAGUUUCAGUUUCAAUGGAAAGAGUGGAAGGAACACUGAAACGGAGACUGACAACUGCCAGGAUGGAUAGACUUAUUUGUUUCUUGAAAAUUUUGUAUGGUGUACGUAUGUCCAAGCUUUUUCUUCAGAACCAAAACUAAAGCUGUUGAGACAGUCUUCAUCUAUGAAUUAUAAUACCACAAAUGUACAGUCUUAAACCAGAAUGAACAAUAUACAGUCAGUGUAACAAGUAUUUGUACAGAAACCAAUUCAAAAUAAUACUUCUUGUACUUAUUUUAUUGAUAAAUUUCAGAAGAAGAAAUAAUUGCCCAACAUCUCUCAAUAUUUUUAGAGCAGAAUUUUCGUAAAUUAAAGUUUUAAAUUAACGUUUAAUGUUAGCCUCUUGCUUCUUUUCUUGUUAAUUUUAUUUUAAAUUGGUUGCUGUACGAAUACUUCUUACACUGACUGUAUAUGUUGAACACUUUUAAUUAAUUAAUUUUUGCGCGCAAGUGAAUGGGUUACAAAAAGAAUCUAGUUUUCUGAAAUGAAAUGAAACGAUAAUGGAAACCGAAACUGAACUGAGAAUAGAUACGACCGUCUAAAGGACCUCUACCACAGAUGAAAUAUUAGGGAUUUUUGGACAUUGAUUAUGAAGGAUAUUUUCUGCAGGCAUUCUCCAAGUACAUACUGUUUAUUGUUAGAGACAGCGUUGUUACAUCUCUGCUGACUUAUGAAGUACUCUUUUCCAAGUAGUUUGUUACAAUGUACAAAUAAUUUCUACAUCACAUGAAAAAACUGAAAGGAAAGUAUUCGUGUUAUUUUGAUAAAUAAUGUAUACCAUAAAUGUUACACGAAAUUAAACGGUACGAUAUAAAGGUCGUAUUAAUUUAAUUAUAAUUAACGCAGAUCACCUUCGAGAUUCCUUUUUAAGAUAUUAUUGCCUACUGUGGAGCUGCCUUCGACAAGAAGGAAGGUGACCAACAGAUGAGCGAGCAGAACAGAUUCCAAUGCGAGUAACGGUGUAAAGAAACGCUCUGAUGCCCGCCUAAAAUAUUCGUUAUGCGUGCCAUACAGACUGCCCAUCGCACGGUCAGCCACACGGAUAAUCGUGGUACAGGUUAUGGUUACUUCUUCAAGGUAGGUCAGUCGAGAUUUCAAGAUUGGGCGAGUCAUACGGUAAACGCUGAUAAAAUCGUUUAUCAUAAAGGUAUAUUUAUUUAUAUAGAUAGAAAUAAUCCCCAUUAACAUAGAGAAAAUGUAUUUAUAUUCUAGUAUCUAAUUAUAAGGGUGUUAUAUGUAUAUAUGUUUAAAAUGUCUAUAGGUUCUCAGGGGCUGUAGCUAUGUUUAAUUUUUAAAUGUAGCUACAGUACGGGUUUAGCGAUCCCGAGGUAGCCGAGCUACAGGUGAGCCAGUGGACCUCAACGGACUCCUGACACUCCCAGAAAAUAACGAAGACCUCUCACAACUCUUAUAGAUAAAACGUACUCAUUCAUUCACUCAAAUCAGGCUUGGGUAAUUCUGGUGGCGAGUGGAAAUUGGAAACUUGUCCAUUCCAGAAUUGAUCUAAGAACGUUUGAUCGAAUACUUGAAUUUCAAUAUUCCUAGUCUCGCAGUUUAACAUUUCUACUUUUGGAAAUAAUACCAAACGUUCGCGGAAAUCUUGAGCGAAAAGAAAAGUACGCGCAGCUGGUACCCACCGUGCAGAAUCCAGCGAUCAGGACGGUCAACAUGAUCUUCUUGAUCGUCCUCUUCACUAUCCUCGUUCUUGGUUCCCGAAGGCACAGAGAAACUAAAACACACUUUGAAGAAAGAAUCGCACUGUCGGGGAUGCAAUUUUGUCGAGGGUUCCCGGUGAACUGAGGCGCGUGUAUCACGUAAGAAUUCUCCCUUCCGUGGCAGAUUCCUUCAACGGGUACUGUCUUCUGGGAGGGGAGGAACGGAAAUCAAGGAAUCAGAGAACCACCG